rnacentral:rRNA from 1 species
GAUGAACGCUAGCGGCAGGCCUAACACAUGCAAGUCGAGCGGGAUCCACCUUCGGGUGGUGAGAGCGGCGCACGGGUGCGUAACGCGUAUGCAACCUACCUUUUGCUACGGGAUAGCCCAGGGAAACUUGGAUUAACACCGUAUAGCAUGCGGUCCCCUCAUGGGGACUGUAUUAAAGGCUACGGCAAAAGAUGGGCAUGCGUCCUAUUAGCUAGAUGGUAAGGUAACGGCUUACCAUGGCGACGAUAGGUAGGGGCCCUGAGAGGGGGAUCCCCCACACUGGUACUGAGACACGGACCAGACUCCUACGGGAGGCAGCAGUGAGGAAUAUUGGACAAUGGGCGGAAGCCUGAUCCAGCCAUGCCGCGUGCAGGAAGACGGCCCUAUGGGUUGUAAACUGCUUUUGUACGGGAAGAAACACCCCCUCGUGAGGGGGCUUGACGGUACCGUAAGAAUAAGGAUCGGCUAACUCCGUGCCAGCCGCCGCCGUAACAC